GUACUCUCACACUCCAAUUUUGGAGAAGUGGACUUGGGUGUUGCUGCUUUGCAGUGGCUCAUCUUAAAUACGCUAGUGCAACUCAUAGUUGGAUAUAGUACAGCGUGAUAAGUAUCUUCGCUGGCGCCUCAUGAAGAGGGUAUCCGAUUGGGAGCUCUGUGCUUCCAACCGUCCUCGGACAAUGACUGACA
rnacentral:misc_RNA from 1 species